rnacentral:rRNA from 1 species
AGGAUAAACGCUGGCGGCGUGCCUAACACAUGCAAGUCGAACGCGCUUGCUAUCCGCGAGGACGGUGAGCGAGUGGCGGACGGGUGAGGAACACGUGGGUGACCUACCUUUCAGUGAGGGAUACCGGCGAGAAAUUGCCGACAAGACCGCAUACGCUUCUCUUUUCAAGGGGAGAAGGAAAGCUUUUCGCAAGAGAGGCGCUGGGAGAUGGGCCUGCGGCCGAUUAGCUAGCUGGUGGGGUAAUGGCCUACCAGGGCGACGAUCGGUAGCUGGUCUGAGAGGACGAUCAGCCACACUGGGAUUGAGAACGGCCCAGACUCCUACGGGGGGCAGCAGUGAGGAAUUUUCGGCAAUGGGGGCAACCCGUGACCGAGCAACGCCGCGUGCAGGACGACGGCCUUCGGGUUGUAAACUGCUUUUCUCUGGGACGAGCAAGGACGGUACCAGAGGAAGAAGCCCCGGCUAACUACGUGCCAGCAGCCGCGGU